rnacentral:lncRNA from 1 species
CCUGUGAAGGCUACAAAAUACCAUCUCGAUUUCUUCCGUGGGCUUCUUUACCUCGGCUCUCAUCAACCUGAACUUGUGGUGACCCCAUCGGUCUGGUCCCUAGUUCCUUUUCUAGCUUCUAUAUUUGUUCUUCCUCCAAGACUUUUUUUGGUGGACACAGACUAGGCAGUUAGGGCUGCUUUCAUCUUUUUGUGUGCAUGUGCCACCCAGCUGUCACCUGAGGCUCCAAGAAGAUAUAUUAUGAACAGCGACCACACCAUGGUAAAUCAUCAUGGAUGGUACUACUGCAUUGUCCAAAUUUAUUGAUGCCUUUUUGUCAGACCUCAUCUAUUCUGAAGAUACAAUAAGUAAACCAUGAAAUAAGUUAAUUAAAGUGUCCUAAAUGUGUCAUUUAUCUA